GUGAGGAAUUUUCCGCAAUGGGCGAAAGCCUGACGGAGCAAUGCCGCGUGAAGGAUGAAGGCCUAUGGGUUGUAAACUUCUUUUCUCAGAAAAGAAUUAUGACGGUAUCUGAGGAAUAAGCAUCGGCUAACUCUGUGCCAGCAGCCGCGGUAAGACAGAGGAUGCAAGCGUUAUCCGGAAUGAUUGGGCGUAAAGCGUCUGUAGGUUGUUUAAAAAGUAUUCUGUCAAAGAUUAGGGCUUAACCCUAGAUAGGCAGAAUAAACUUUUAAGCUAGAGUUUGGUAGUGGCAGAGGGAAUUCCCGGUGGAGCGGUGAAAUGCGUAGAUAUCGGGAGGAACACCAAAGGCGAAGGCACUCUGCUGGGCCAAUACUAACACUGAGAGACGAAAGCGAGGGGAGCAAAUGGGAUUAGAAACCCGAGUAGUCC
rnacentral:rRNA from 1 species